rnacentral:rRNA from 1 species
UUAGGAAUAUUGGGCAAUGGGAGGAAACUCUGACCCAGCAACGCCGCGUGAAGGAUGAAGGUCUUCGGAUUGUAAACUUCUGUUCUAAGGGACGAAACAAAUGACGGUACCUUAGAAGAAAGCCCCGGCAAACUACGUGCCAGCAGCCGCGGUGAUACGUAGGGGGCAAGCGUUGUCCGGAAUGACUGGGCGUAAAGGGAGUGUAGGCGGUUCUUUAAGUUAAAUGUGAAAUCCUGAGGCUUAACCUCAGAACUGCAUUUAAUACUGGGGAACUUGAGUGUGGGAGAGGUAAGUGGAAUUCCUAGUGUAGCGGUGGAAUGCAUAGAUAUUAGGAGGAACAUCAGAGGCGAAGGCGACUUACUGGAACACAACUGACGCUGAGGCUCGAAAGCGUGGGGAGCAAACAGGAUUAGAUACCCUGGUAGU